rnacentral:tRNA from 1 species
GCUCUUGUGGCGGAAUUGGUAGACGCGCGAGUUUUAGAAACUCGUACCUUCGCGUGUGUGGGUUCGAUUCCCACUGAGAGCA